GGCGCGGCACGACGCUUCUACCGGAACACGCUUCCUGUGUAGUGAUGACGGAGGAUACGAAACUGACCAAUCACAGAGGAAUCUGUCAGUGACGUCACUGGAAUCUGUCGUGAGGUGUCGCAAAGCAAUGCAACUGUCAAAGCAGAAAUGACAGCUCCGCUGCUGAUCUGUACAGGAGGAAAAUAUUUAUUGUGACCUCGUUAACAAGGAAAAAUAAAGAAUUAGUACUUGUACCAUUGAUCUUGAAGCUGUACAAUGGACAACAAGACCAGAGCUCAAUUAAUGCAGGUUUUGUGGUGGUUUUGGAGGGCACUAAUAUCCUUGAAGGUUGUUUUUGGUUUAUUUUGGUCCUGUUUGGAGUCUCACAUCUGCAUUGCGUGAAACCGCUCUUCAAGACAUGUGUCCGGGGAAACACGUGGUCCACUUAUAUAGAAAUGCUGGAGUUGCAGAGGCGGCGGUGACCAGGAUCUGGAGGUUCACCAGGAGGAGAUGAUGAUGAUGAUGAUAAUUAAAUACAGGAAAACCUGCACGGAUGCUUCAAGAACACCUCUGAAGUUUGAAUUCUGGAAAUAUUUUACAUUGUGUAUUUGAUUUCUUUUUCUUCCACGCACACACACUCUAAAGAAACCA